UAGUCCACGCCCUAAACGAUGCUUACUAGAUAUGUGCGAUAUACUGUACGUGUCAAAGGGAAACCAUUAAGUAAGCCACCUGGGGAGUACGUUCGCAAGAAUGAAACUCAAAGGAAUUGACGGGGGCCCGCACAAGCGGUGGAGCAUGUGGUUUAAUUCGAUGAUACGCGAGGAACCUUACCAGGGCUUAAAUGCAUAUUGACAGGGUCAGAGAUGACUUUUCCUUCGGGCAAUUUGCAAGGUGCUGCAUGGUUGUCGUCAGCUCGUGCCGUGAGGUGUCAGGUUAAGUCCUAUAACGAGCGCAACCCCUACCGUUAGUUGCCAGCAUGUCAUGAUGGGGACUCUAACGGGACUGCCGGUGCAAACCGUGAGGAAGGUGGGGAUGACGUCAAAUCAUCACGGCCCUUACGUCCUGGGCCACACACGUGCUACAAUGGCAGGUACAGAGAGCAGCCACGUCGCAAGGCGGAGCGAAUCUAUAAAACCUGUCACAGUUCGGAUC
rnacentral:rRNA from 1 species